rnacentral:misc_RNA from 1 species
GUUAAAGGAGGAGCAGUCGGUUAUCCUCCAAACAUCCAGCCGAAAGGGCAUCACCAGAAAUUUGGAGAAGAGAAAGACACAGCGCAAAGAUGCCGGUGAUGGAGAAGCUAAAGAUAUUCGUAGUGCAAGAGCCUGUUGUUGCAGCUUCUUGCCUUAUCGCUGGUGUGGGUCUUUUCCUUCCAGCUGUGGUAAGGCCUAUUUUGGAUUCCUUCGAAACAAGCAAGCAAGUCCAGCAGCCUGCGAUAAGUGAUGUGGUUGCAGGCGUUCGUAAAAAGCAGGCAUAAAGUGACUCUUAAGAGCUAGUGGCAGAGUAUGAUUCUCUCUACUCUCUUCGGUUCUACCUGCUUUGUUUUCCCUCCAUCACGAGCAGCAUGAAAUAAGCCUUUCCUUUAAAUUGUUAAACACUGAGAAGAUCCUUUUUCGUACAAGUAUAUGAUUAUUUUGUUGGUAUGCUUAUUAAACACUUUUAAACGAUUGAUGCAUCGUUUGAAAUCAACUGCUUUCCAUUCCUUUGU